UUUAUUUUUUGUUUAAAUAUUCACUCCUGCUUUAAUCUCGACACCUAGCAAGAUCAUGUGUACUUGAAUGCGAUGUGGCAAGAUAGGGAAAGAGUAAAGUGAUCACUGAAGGGUCAUUUUCAGGUUUGAAGUUCAAGACCAAUCUUCAAAGACUCCUCUAACUAAGAUAUCAAGAUGUCAAACGAUGAAGCCUCUAGUGAAAUAGUUUCUCAGUCUGAGGAGAUUCCCGCAUCCCCUAUCCUAAUUCCAGGUUUGGAGGCAAUUGUGCAGACUUUGGCAACCGCUUUACGACAGACUAGACAGUCAUCAAUUUUGAAAACAUUACAUGAAAUUGGACCUGAGCAGUUCAGGGGAAGGCUUGACGAUGACCCAGCUAAGGCCGAUUACUGGUUGGAACAAGUAGAGAGAGUUUUCUCUUUAAUGCCAUUUACGGCAGAGGAGAAAUUACUGUGCGCGGUAGCACUACUGAGAGAUGAGGCUUACAGGUGGUGGGAAGAUGUUAUCCAGGUCGCCGUUGCCGGAACAGUGACAUGGGAAUUCUUCCGGGAGAAGUUCACCAAACGUUACAUUGGGGCGCUAUACAUGGAGGAUCGGCGAGAGGAAUUUCUACACUUGGUUCAGGGGAGUAUGUCAGUCCUACUGGCAUUGCUGGGAAUAGAGAUAUGCACAGGAUAUAGUUUGGCUAUAUCCUGUGCAUAUUUUGCUAAUUAAGUAUAAUUAUGUUCGAAAUUGAAAGUGAAAUUAGCUUACGAGACUGAGUUUCAUCGUCUCGCAAGAUAUGCACAGGAUAUAGUUUCUACGCGCGAAGACAUGUGUCGUAGAUUCAAAAGAGGAUUGAACAGUCGCAUUCAACCGGCAUUGCUGGGAAUAGAGACCUCGGAUUUAACUAAAUUAUUUCACCUCGCACAGGCUGUUGAGCGGUUAAAGGCAGAAGAAGAAGCUGAAAGAAAUACUAGGAGUCGCGGAAAAAGGGCUGCUGAAUCUUCCCACCCGGCAUCCCGAUAUACCGGAAAAAGAUUUAGAGAUUUCAGGGGAAGUAGAAAUUCAGCACUUAACAGAUACCCUGCAUGCAUGCAUUGUGGGAAAUGCCAUAUGGGCGAGUGUCGAAGAAUGACUGGAGCGUGUUAUCGAUGUGGGUCUACAGACCAUUUCUUUAGAGAUUGCCCAAGGAAGCAAGUAGCAUCUGCGGUGAGGUUAGCACCUGUCGCACAAAAAAACCAUGGGACAGAGACCGACAACAUGAACCAUUCCCAGGCCAGAGCAGAGAGCCCCUGACACUGCCAUUCGGUCUCAAGAGGAUCACGCCGCUACUGACAUUUACGAGAUUCGUUUAUCAAUCUCUCCAUGUUAAUCGUGAAGCUGCCUUCGUCAAGUCACUAGCGUUGUCAAGCCACUAGUGUUUUUGGGUAUAUAUUUUGAUGUACUAGUACUUGUGGUGUAUAUAUGUAGAACCACUUUCGAGAUAAUAUUUAUGUUGUAAAUUAUUCUAAAUAUUGAUUUAGUCUAUUUGUUACUACUA